UGCGGUCCAAAGAUAGCUUAAGUCGGCGUGUUCACGUCGCUCCCGUAGUCGUAUCCAGAAAGGAAACCCUUCUCGCUUUUUCCUCUCUCUCGGUCGAAACCUCGAGUCCUCCUCUCCAUCGGCGACUCGCGGAAUCCUUCAGCAGAUUUCUUGAUUCGUGGUGGAGUUCGCUUUGUGCCCAUCGAUUGGGCGCUAAUUUUGUGAGAUUUGUAAGUGGUUCCACAUCUCUUCAUCGCUUGGUGAAUUCUAGGGUUUCGUCGCUCCUGGGUUUGUUUCUUGCUUUCGCCCCCUUUUCGAUUUCUAGGGUUUCUUUUGGUCAGUAGUCGGAUUUUUUUGGGGUUUCCUCACGUUAUGGCUGCUGGUCGACAUGGUGGGUACCGGGAUCAUGAGUUCAGGGACCGGGAAGCAGAUGUAGAGGUCUCCAGGAGGAAGAAUUAUUAUCGGGAUCGGCUCCGUGAUGGGGCUCGCGAUAGGGACCGUGAUCACGGUGGCCGGGAUAUGCGUGAUAGGGCUAGUACCUGGCAAAGAGGCAUCCGGAAGAUGGAAGCGGUGAAUGGCUCCUGUCGCUCCCCCUUGUCGAGCAAUUCCAGUGGCGGAAGCGGGAAAAGUCAGAAAAGGAUUCGCUUAUCUGCGAGAGAUGUCGAACGUGAAGCUGGGGAGUUGUCUAGUGGGAGUGGAUCGGAUGAUGCUGAAGCACCUCUUUCAGAGGUCAGGGAGAAUGGGACUCAGAAUUAUGAGACUGGUGAUCCUUCCAUGUCUACUGGGAAACGGAAAUUUUCUCCGAUUGUUUGGGAUAAGGAUGAAAAUAAACAAUCCACGGUUGUAAUGUCCAGAGUUAAGAGCAGCAAUCUCGAAAACGUUACCUUGCCUCCACCGCCUCCAUUGCCUCCAAAUUUCAUACCACCACGGUCUAUUACCAUUGUUCAACCGUCUGUUGGGGAUACACUGCCUUUAGAUGUAGAUGUCCAUGUAGAGUCAGCUCGGGAACAUCUGCUGAAUAAUAGUCAGGAGACCACGUUGCUAGAUGACUAUGAAAAGGAACUUUCACCUGCUCGGAGUAUUUCUAUUUCCAGAUGGGCAGACGGAAACUAUACAUUCCACGAUGCUGAAGAUGAAUAUUUUGAGGAUGCUGUGCCCAAAAGAAGAAAGACUGUCUUAUCUGAUUCUGAAGGCCAAAAAUCGCAGGAGACACCUACUCCUGAGCUAGGUGAGAUUAUCAUGAGAGAAGAUUCUGUAGUGGCUUUGUCUAAGUUGUCUGAUUCAGAAGGAGAGGAUGGAGAUGAUGACCAGGGGUUUGAGGUAGAUAGGAAUGAUUAUAUGGUGGCCAAUGGCAAUGAGUCUAAUGCAGACACAAAUGAUCAAUUGUCUGAAACCGACUCUGAAUCUGAGGACAUUAGGGCCAAGAUGUCAGAGCCCAGACAGCCACCCCAAAGAUGUAUAAACAUGCUCCAAGGUUGUAGAAGCGUUGAUGAGUUUGAGAGGCUGAACAAAAUAAAUGAAGGCACGUAUGGUGUUGUGUACAGAGCAAAGGAUAAAAAGACUGGGGAGAUAGUGGCACUGAAAAAAGUGAAAAUGGAGAAGGAGAGGGAGGGAUUUCCACUGACCUCACUUAGGGAGAUAAAUAUUUUGCUUUCUUUUCAUCAUCCUUCGAUUGUGGAUGUUAAGGAAGUUGUAGUUGGUAGCAGUCUUGAUAGUAUUUUUAUGGUUAUGGAAUACAUGGAACAUGAUUUAAAGGGGCUGAUGGAGACCAUGAAGCAGCCAUUUAAUCAGAGUGAGGUAAAAUGCUUAAUGUUGCAGCUGUUUUCAGGUGUCAAGUACCUUCAUGACAACUGGGUACUCCAUAGGGAUUUGAAGACAUCAAAUAUUCUGUUAAAUAAUCGUGGAGAGUUGAAGAUAUGUGAUUUUGGUUUGUCUCGCCAAUAUGGCAGCCCAUUGAAGCCAUACACUCACUUAGUGGUGACAUUAUGGUACAGGUCACCUGAACUUCUAUUAGGAGCUAAGGAGUAUUCAACUGCUAUUGACAUGUGGUCCUUAGGGUGCAUAAUGGCCGAACUUCUAGCAAAGGAACCCUUAUUCAGUGGAAAAACCGAGUUUGAUCAACUUGACAAGAUAUUCAGGAUGCUUGGUACACCCAGCGAAAAUAUUUGGCCUGGAUUUUCUAAAUUACCUGGUGCUAAAGUUAAUUUUGUCAAGCAACCGUAUAAUAAACUACGAGAAAAGUUUCCUCCCAUUUCUUUUUCUGGACAUCCAACCCUGUCUGAAGCUGGAAUUGACUUGUUAAACAAACUUCUGACAUAUGACCCAGAGAAGCGAAUAACAGCGGAGGCUGCUCUUAAUCAUCAGUGGUUCUAUGAGGUUCCUUUGCCAAAGUCAAAGGAUUUUAUGCCUACUUUUCCAGCUCAACAUGCUCAAGACAGGCGUCUGCGAAGAAUAAUGAAGAGCCCUGAUCCACUUUCAGAACAACGGAAGAAGGAAUUGCAACAGGCUGAACUAGGUGUUUCUAGUCUCUUUGGUUAGAGGAUAAGUACAAGACAUUUCUGGUGGUCUUUGCUUUAGCUGGUUGAUGCGGUUGGAGAUUGUUGCUUUUAGUAACCAAGGAAAAGGUCAAAACUUCGUACUCAAAAGAAAUUCAGCUACUUUUUGGAUAACAUUGGUUUACACAAAUUCGUUACAGAUUACUUCAAUCUCGGUGUGGUGGUGUUGUGAUGACUCUUUUGAGUGUGGGGAUCGAGAGUGGUGGGCUUUGUUAUAGUGGGUAUUCCUAUUAAAGCAUAACUCAUCGUCCUGGGCACGAUUUUAUAUUUGGCUUUCCCCUGUGAACUAUCUCUUAUGCAAGGAAGUGCGGUGCAACGAUACACUGUUCGGUAAAGCUGGUAAUCUGAAAUAUAAAAGUGCAAGACGUCUGCGCAUCUUAAAGGUGAAGCUGAUCAUUUUUUUUUAAUUAUCACGGCCAGUAGCAACAGUUUUGAAUUCAGUUUAUUAUAUUUUGUUUUGGCAACGUUGCUGGAGAACUUCGACAACGUAUUUUGCUGGAGAAAAGUGACUUCACGGAUCAGAAAGGCAAUUUAUCUCGAUAGGGGCAUACAUUUGUUUUAGAAAGGAGAUGAUCGCUUGGCAAAAAGGAGAGAGAGAGAGAGAGAGAGAUUCUUGUUCAACGAAGGAGACGUGUCAGUGUGAGCAGGAGCAUUGGUCGGUGGCAGACGCAGCCUUGUAGCUACGUUCCCAUUGGUCCGUCGGCGGGGCCUCAGCAUGCGGAGCGUGGCGAGGGUGCUUCUCUCUCUUGUCCCCCUUGAUCUGCUUCAGGCCAUGUUUCAGCGCCGGCACCAACGCCUCCAUGCACUCGGCAACAGCGUUUGGGUUCCCGGGCAUGUUGAUGAUCUAAAGAUGCCAACAGAAUCUCAUCAAUAUAAGUCAAAUCAAAAAAUUGGUUUCUGCUUGCUGACGCAUGGAGAACAUGUGAAAGGGAAUUUAGAAACAAUGGUUCCUAAAUAUAUUAACUACUAUUAGUAGAGUAAGAUUAGGAGGAGCAUUACUAAUGUUGAUCCUCUGAUCCCAGCUGCAGCCCGUGAAAGCAUCGCGAAUGGUGUCACCUGUUUGCCCCAGCCCAGUGAAGAACACCAUAGUUAGACAGACGACUUCAGGACAAUAUCCAAAAUAAAUCAAGUCAUCGGAUACCUUACCUUGAGACUCUCUUGAAGCAUCACGAAUGAAAGACCAGGUGUUUCUUUCUGGAUCACCGCCUUUGUAGCCUCAGGUGUCACAUCCCUUGGAGUACAGCCAGUGCCACCUAUCACAGAACAAAAUAAAGAUGACGAGAAAUGAUGCAUGAA